rnacentral:rRNA from 1 species
GAGUUUGAUCGUGGCUCAGGAUGAACGCUAGCGGCGCGCCUAAUGCAUGCAAGUCGAGCGAUGAGGCACCUUUGGGUGUACAUCAGCGGCAGACGGGUGAGUAACACGUAGGUGACCUACCCCGAAGACGGGGAUAACAGGUGGAAACAUCUGCUAAUACCCGAUGGACUCUGAGCGGAAGCGAGGAGUAAAGGCUACGGUGCUUCGGGAGGGGCCUGCGGCCUAUCAGCUAGUUGGUAGGGUAACGGCCUACCAAGGCGAAGACGGGUAGGGGGUGUGAGAGCACGGCCCCCCACAAUGGGACUGAGACACGGCCCAUACUCCUACGGGAGGCAGCAGCAGGGAAUAUUACGCAAUGGGCGGAAGCCUGACGCAGCGACGCCGCGUGGAUGAAGAAGGCCUUCGGUUGUAAAAUACCUUUUCUAGGGGACGGAGGAAGGACGGUACCCCGUACGGAAGUAAGCGUCGGCGUAACUACGUGCC